UCUUAUCGAAUUAAUUAAUUUUAUCAUUAUCAACUUAUCGGGCAUAAAUUGACGUUUACCUAAAUAGGAUAAACGCGCGAAUCUAAUAGGGACAAAGCGGUGAAGGUCCCGGGGAAAGUGACUCAUGUUUACACCGUUUGACAUUAGAUUUUACCUACAUUCUGAACAAAAAAAACUACUUUCAAAGGUUCCCAAGCAUUAAUUUUCAGUACAAAUAUCUUAUUGUGCAGAUUUGAACUGGAACACGUCCAUCCGGGAAAAUGUCUACAGCCGUAGAGCCACCUCCACACUUUGAUAAUAAAGAUGAAGAAAUCAACUACUGGAAGAAUCUUGCCUAUGAUUAUUUGGAACAGUUAAAACAGGCACAGAGGGACUCUGAUGAAUUUAUCAUUGAGUCAAAGCAGCUUGAGAAAGAAUAUGAAGGUACUAUAGAACAAAAUGAGAAAAAAAUUAGGGAGCUCAGUAUUAGCAAUAACCGGACACAGAAUGAAAUUGAUGCAUUAAGGGUUAAACUAGAUAUUUGCUAUAAAGAAAUGAACAACCAAAGAACUGAAAUCGAUGCAUUAAAAGCUGACAAGGAGCAACUACAUAGGAAAAUUAUAGAAGUAGAAAAGAAAAAUGAUGAAUUAGAAGGAUCCAGAAGAAUUAUUGAAGAAAGCAUGGCAGGGUUUGAGCAAGCAUUAAAUUCCGCCUUAGAAAAAAAUGCAAUAUUAGAAAAUGAAGUGGACGAGAAAGAGUGUCUUAAAGAGAAACUGCAGAGGCUCGCUGAUGAAGCUAGAGAUUUAAAACAAGAGCUGCUAGUAAAAGAAAAAGAGAAGGUACCGGAUAAAGAACGUUACAUGAACGGUUUCAAGCCCACCGCAAUUGACAAUCGACUGAAAGAGACAGAAACGCAAACGUCACCGGCAAAACGAGAAUAUCAACCGCCUCUAUCUCCUGCCUCAAGAGUUAUGGCCCUAAAUAUAGUCAGUGACCUAAUAAGGAAAGUUGGACUGUCGAGAUUUCUGUGUUCCCAGUGUGGACAAGUUAAAUGUACAGUUUGCAGCACGGACGGCAGUUUGCUUAACAGUAGUAAUUGUAGUUAGAGUUUAGAACGCCGUUUGGACUAUAGAGAGCUUCAGAGUGCCGAGGGCAGAUUGUUAGUUUAGUAAUAAACGACAUUUAUGAAGAAUUGGACCUUCAAAAUUACCCUGCUGAUACUAACGUUACAAAUUGUUUAUGUAGGUGUAAAUAUUCUCGAAUUGUGUGUGCAAAUUUUAUUGUUUUCACCAGUCGUUUUGCUCUUAGUACAAUAAUUUAAUUGUAUUCCAUUUUUUUUUACUUAGGUUUUAUUAUAGUUUACCAUAUUAAUUUAAUAUUAUACGAUUUCUUACC
rnacentral:misc_RNA from 1 species